UAAAUUAGUCCUGCCCAAUGAUUUAUUUGUUUAAUGGCUGCAGUAUUUUAACUGUACGAAGGUAGCAUAAUCAUUAGUUUAUUAAUUGUAAUCUUGUAUGAAUGGUUUUAUGAAAAAGUUACUUUCUUUAUUUAUUUAUUAUGAAUUUGUAUUUUUUGUAAAAAUACAAAGAUUUAUUUAUUAGACGAGAAGACCCUAUAAAACUUAAUAUGACUAUUUAUAGAUAUAUAGGUAGCUAUAUUAAAUUGGGGAGAUUAGGAAAUGUAAUUAACUUUCAAUUUUUUUAUUUCAUAAAUUAGUGUUUUGUUGAUUUAAUAUAUUAAUUAUAAGAUUAAGUUACUUUAGGGAUAAC
rnacentral:rRNA from 1 species